UACGAAGGGUGCAAGCGUUAAUCGGAAUUACUGGGCGUAAAGGGUGCGUAGGCGGUUCGUUAAGUCUGUCGUGAAAUCCCCGGGCUCAACCUGGGAAUGGCGAUGGAUACUGGCGAGCUAGAGUGUGUCAGAGGAUGGUGGAAUUCCCGGUGUAGCGGUGAAAUGCGUAGAGAUCGGGAGGAAUAUCAGUGGCGAAGGCGGCCAUCUGGGACAACACUGACGCUGAAGCACGAAAGCGUGGGGAGCAAACAGG
rnacentral:rRNA from 1 species